CCCCUUGUUUAGCGUAUCAUCAAGAAAUAACUAUAAAUAAGGGCAACCGGCAGCCCAAGGGGCUGCUCAGUCUGGAGUAGCCAUUUUUUUAUUCCUCCUAAUAAACUUGCUUUCACUUUACAGACUCGCCCUGAAUUCUUUCUUGUGUGAAAUCCAAGAGCCCUCUCUUGGGGUUGGAUCGGGACCCUGUUCCUGUAACAAGUCCACAAUGCCAGAGAAUUAAAGAGAACCACAAAGCUGAACCUCAAAAAGUUAGCCUGGCGAGGGGAGGAUGAUGAGAUUUCCCCUGUUGUCACAUAAACAAGGAAGUAAAGGGGGCCCCUUGUGCUCUCAGAACUCCAAGCAUGAAACGAUUUUCUGCCAUUUCAGUUCCUGUUAUCGUGCUUUGAGGUGCACUGAACUGCAGCAAACCCAGGGGAUCCAAGGCUACGUUGAAAAGCCUUUGACCACAGUGCAGGGAGCAGAAGACAUUAAUGACGUGAUGUCGACACAGCCCGCACUCAGGAUCCUCCAGGAAAAGAACACAGAGAUAACCCCGGAUCGAUGGUACUUUUUGAAAAUGCUUUAUUGCAAAAGAGUGGCUAGGGUUUUACAAGGGCUAUGAAGAAACAUAUUAAGGUUAAUAAAGCUUUUUAUUG
rnacentral:lncRNA from 1 species